rnacentral:tRNA from 1 species
GGCGGCGGAUCCGUGUACGAUAGUGUACGGAGCCGAGCCUGCUAAGCCGUUGGCGAUAUCGCCUCGCGGGUUCGAAUCCCGUCCCCGGCACCA